CGAGCGAGAAGGCCUUCGGGCUGAGUACAGCGGCGGACGGGUGAGUAACGCGUAGGAAUCUACCUGGUAGUGGGGGACAACAUGGGGAAACUCAUGCUAAUACCGCAUACGCCCUAUGGGGGAAAGCGGGGGACCUUCGGGCCUCGCGCUAUCAGAUGAGCCUGCGUAGGAUUAGCUUGUUGGUGAGGUAAAGGCUCACCAAGGCGACGAUCCUUAGCUGGUCUGAGAGGAUGAUCAGCCACACUGGAACUGAGACACGGUCCAGACUCCUACGGGAGGCAGCAGUGGGGAAUAUUGCGCAAUGGGCGAAAGCCUGACGCAGCCAUGCCGCGUGUGUGAAGAAGGCCUUAGGGUUGUAAAGCACUUUCAAUUGGGAAGAAAGGUUGCGUGUUAAUAGCACGUAGCUGUGACGUUACCUUUAGAAGAAGCACCGGCUAACUCCGUGCCAGCAGCCGCGGUAAUACGGAGGGUGCGAGCGUUAAUCGGAAUUACUGGGCGUAAAGCGCGCGUAGGCGGUUUGUUAAGUCGGAUGUGAAAGCCCCGGGCUCAACCUGGGAAUUGCCUUCGAUACUGGCCGACUAGAGUACGAGAGAGGGAGGUAGAAUUCCACGUGUAGCGGUGAAAUGCGUAGAUAUGUGGAGGAAUACCGGUGGCGAAGGCGGCCUCCUGGCUCGAUACUGACGCUGAGGUGCGAAAGCGUGGGUAGCAAACAGGAUUAGAUACCCUGGUAGUCCACGCCGUAAAACGAUGUCUACUAGCCGUUGGGAGACUUGAUUUCUU
rnacentral:rRNA from 1 species